rnacentral:rRNA from 1 species
UACGGAGGGUGCAAGCGUUAUCCGGAUUCACUGGGUUUAAAGGGCGCGUAGGCGGCCUUCUAAGUCGGACGUGAAAUCCCUCGGCUCAACCGAGGAACUGCGUCCGAUACUGACAGGCUUGAAUCCGGGAGAGGGAUGCGGAAUUCCAGGUGUAGCGGUGAAAUGCGUAGAUAUCAGGAGGAACACCAAUUGCGAAGGCAGCUCGCUGGAACGUAACUGACGCUGAGACGCGAAAGCGUGGGGAGCAAACAGG